GGAGGGAGGGAGCGGGAGAGCGGCGCUGGCGAGGAGGAGCCGCCGCCUCAUCCUGCGGCACCGGCCCGGCGAGCGCAGGUGGCAGUGUAGAAGCCAAGAACAAAAAUUGGCAGAAAUUGUAUUCUGUGUGCGAGAAUAUGAAGAGUGUACUCAUGACUAAGCACAGAAACCUGGAAAACCACAGGCUUCGGUCAGGUGAUCCCUGAUGAGUAGUCAGCCCACCAAGAAGGCACUUCAGCACACAGGUAAGUGAGAAGCCGUAUACUCUUUAAUGCAACUGGGGGGUCCAGGGGAGAAGAUAAACAGCCUAACAUUGUUUGAAUAGUUUAAAAAAAAUAUUCCUGACUUGCUUGGGUGUGUAACAUUGUGAUUGUCUGUUUCAAUGCUGCUACUUCUGCUAUUCAGUGUUGUUCUUGAUUUUUUUUUUAAAAUCUGUCUUUAAUUAGAAGCCUUA